rnacentral:rRNA from 1 species
GAUGAACGCUGGCGGCGGGCCUAAUACAUGCAAGUCGAGCGAACAGACGAGGAGCUUGCUCCUCUGACGUUAGCGGCGGACGGGUGAGUAACACGUGGAUAACCUACCUAUAAGACUUGGAUGACUUCGGGGAACCGGAGCUAAUACCGGAUAAUAUGUUGAACCGCAUGGUUCAAUAGUGAAAGACGGUUUUGCUGUCACUUAUAGAUGUAUCCGCGCCGCAUUAGCUAGUUGGUAAGGUAACGGCCUACCAAGGCAACGAGGCGUAGCCGACCUGAGAGGGUGAUCGGCCACACUGGAACUGAGACACGGUCCAGACUCCUACGGGAGGCAGCAGUAGGGAAUCUUACGCAAUGGGCGAAAGCCUGACGGAGCAACGCCGCGUGAGUGAUGAAGGUCUUCGGAUCGUAAAACUCUGUUAUUAGGGAAGAACAAAUGUGUAAGUAACUAUGCACGUCUUGACGGUACCUAAUCAGAAAGCCAGGGCUAACUACGUG